CUUGUUCUUUAAAUGAGGACUCGUAUCAACGGCAUCACGAGGAUCCUACUGUCUCCCCCCUCUAAUCGGUGAAACUGAUCUCUCCGUGAAGAAGCGGAGAUGUACAUAUAAGACGAGAAGACCCCAUGGAGCUUUAAACCCAACAACACCCGCCCCCCCUCCAAAUCCUAUUAUUUACCCGGUGAUUGUUUGUUUGGUUUUAGGUUGGGGUGACCGCGGAGUAUAAGAUAUCCUCCAUGAAAAAAAGCUAACUGCCCUUAUUAGAGAAAGACACUUCCAAAAAAUAAUAAAUUAAUUUUAAAUGAUCCGACAUUCGAUCAACGAACCAAGUUACCCUGGGGAUAACAGCGCAAUCCGUCCCGAGAGCCCCUAUCGACAGGCGGGUUUACGACCUCGAUGUUGGAUCAGGGUAUCCUAGUGGUGCAGCAGCUACUAAAGGUUCGUUUGUUCAACGAUUAAAACCCU
rnacentral:rRNA from 1 species